CUAGUAACGGCGAGUGAAGCGGGAUGAGCUCAAAUUUGAAAGCUGGCCUUUGGUCCGCAUUGUAAUCUCGAGAUGUGUUUUCCGUGCUAGACCGUGGACAAGUUCCUUGGAAUUGGAUGUCAUAGAGGGUGAGAACCCCGUACAUGCCGCGGAUGCCUAGUGCUUUGUGAUACACGUUCGAAGAGUCGAGUUGUUUGGGAAUGCAGCUCAAAGUGGGUGGUAAAUUCCAUCUAAAGCUAAAUAUUGGGGAGAGACCGAUAGCAAACAAGUACCGUGAGGGAAAGAUGAAAAGCACUUUGGAAAGAGAGUUAAACAGUACGUGAAAUUGUCAAAAGGGAAGCGCUUCAAGUUAGAUGUGUGUAGUGGUGCUCAGCCGCAAGGCGUUUUCAUUGCUACACAGGCCAACAUCGGUUGUAGGGGGUGGAGAAUAGGCGGAGGAAUGUGGCACCUCCGGGUGCGUUAUAGCCUCUGCCCGGAUACAUCCCCCACGACCGAGGUCAGCAGCGUUCGCGCUUAGGAUGCUGGCGUAAUGGCUUGAG
rnacentral:rRNA from 1 species